UGGGGAAUAUUGCGCAAUGGGGGGAACCCUGACGCAGCCAUGCCGCGUGAAUGAAGAAGGCCUUCGGGUUGUAAAGUUCUUUCGGUAUUGAGGAAGGUUGAUGUGUUAAUAGCACAUCAAAUUGACGUUAAAUACAGAAGAAGCACCGGCUAACUCCGUGCCAGCAGCCGCGGUAAUACGGAGGGUGCGAGCGUUAAUCGGAAUAACUGGGCGUAAAGGGCACGCAGGCGGUUAUUUAAGUGAGGUGUGAAAGCCCUGGGCUUAACCUAGGAAUUGCAUUUCAGACUGGGUAACUAGAGUACUUUAGGGAGGGGUAGAAUUCCACGUGUAGCGGUGAAAUGCGUAGAGAUGUGGAGGAAUACCGAAGGCGAAGGCAGCCCCUUGGGAAUGUACUGACGCUCAUGUGCGAAAGCGUGGGGAGCAAACAGGAUUAGAUACCCUGGUAGUCCACGCUGUAAACGCUGUCGAUUUGGGGGUUGGGGUUUAACUCUGGCGCCCGUAGCUAACGUGAUAAAUCGACCGCCUGGGGAGUACGGCCACAAGGUUA
rnacentral:rRNA from 1 species